UUGGCACUGGAAGAAUUCAC
rnacentral:miRNA from 1 species